GUUCUCAUAGCUUACUACCUAAAGCCUUGACGUUGUAACUCAAAGAUGGGGCCCCACCCCUGAGAACA
rnacentral:tRNA from 1 species